UGGGGAAUUUUGGACAAUGGGGGAAACCCUGAUCCAGCCAUCCCGCGUGUGCGAUGAAGGCCUUCGGGUUGUAAAGCACUUUUGGCAGGAAAGAAACGUCAUGGGUUAAUAACCCGUGAAACUGACGGUACCUGCAGAAUAAGCACCGGCUAACUACGUGCCAGCAGCCGCGGUAAUACGUAGGGUGCAAGCGUUAAUCGGAAUUACUGGGCGUAAAGCGUGCGCAGGCGGUUCGGAAAGAAAGAUGUGAAAUCCCAGAGCUCAACUUUGGAACUGCAUUUUUAACUACCGGGCUAGAGUGUGUCAGAGGGAGGUGGAAUUCCGCGUGUAGCAGUGAAAUGCGUAGAUAUGCGGAGGAACACCGAUGGCGAAGGCAGCCUCCUGGGAUAACACUGACGCUCAUGCACGAAAGCGUGGGGAGCAAACAGG
rnacentral:rRNA from 1 species